AGGGUCGAAAAUUCAAUUCCAUCGCCACCACUUCCACUUUGUUCCUUCAAACUCAGUCUCUGCGUGGACGUGGAUAUCGCGGGGCGUUGGAGACAGACAGAACAUCAGUUUGAAGUGAAAAACAAACAGUAUUCUCCACUUCAACCGUGUCACACAGCAAUCCUGUUGAAGCAUUCACAGUCUAAGUUUCCUCAAGCGGCAAAAGCUCGGAGAUGUCUCCGCGGAAUCGCCUUCCGAUCGCAAAGGGAAUGUCUGCGAGAGGUGAGUUGGGUUGAGUGGAAGGGGAAAAGAGUUGAGAUUCGGUGACGUGAGCGGAGACAACAGAGAGUUGAGAGUAUAAUGUAAAAAAAAAAACGGAUAGAGAGCAAGUCAGUGUAGGUAGGUUGCUAAAACGGGGGCGGAGAGGACCGGCUGGUCCGGGACCAUGACCGGAUUUUCCAGGUUUCUCGGUUGCCUCGUUGCGCGGCUCUUUCUUCACGCCAGCGAGCACCGCGCAGGAGGAGGUGAAGCUCUCGCCAUAGCCCAUUUCUACCCCACUUCGGCACCCCGUCCCGCAUUCUUUCGUUCUCUUCUCUCUUCGCUUGCAUUCUCACCAUUUCCGUCGCCUCGUUCUCUCUCCAACGAGCUCCUUAAGUUGUUUUUAUUUCUGGUUUUUAGCCCCCCUUUUUUUUUUUUUUUUUUUUUUUUUUGGAGUCUAUUCUGGAACCAGGAGUAUUAACUUUGGAGGUUGGGGAAGCUUGGUUUUUUCAUUUUCGUUGCAUUUGUAUGCGUUUCUGGAGUUAACAGAUGUCUUUAAAGAGCCUCCAUGGGUGUGCACUGCCCGCGGAAUUGUUAGUUCCAUCGGAGGUCUUGAACUGGGGUGCCUGAAUCGGGGGGUUUCUUUUCUUUGUAGAUGUAUGCAUUGGCAUUUCUGCAUCUGCAGUGCUUCGUGGUCUUCUCAACAAGUUCCUGUGUGGCGUUAUUCUUUUGCUGGAGUUUUUCGUCUGGUGUGGGUCUCCGUGGAAUUGUUAAGGCUUGAUUGGUUGCUCUCUCCCGAGGGCGAGGUUUGGCUUUUGGACUCGCGAACUAAAUAUGCUGAAAGGGAGAUUGAAGAAGUACAGGGUCGAUUUUUUCCAUGCAACGAACAGGUUCGGCACAAUCAGGGCAUAGGUGAACACAGUGCACGCAAGGCGUGCAAUUCUUGGAAAGAUUUGAAAAAAAAAAAAAAAAAUCUAUGGCUAUGGCGAGUUUACUCUAUACGAGCGGAUCCUAGGAUACUUAUUUCAGUGCGCACGAGACCAAGUGCCGACACACUUCAACAGCAGAGGAAGUGGCAGCGCCGCCAUCAGUUGCAAAGAUGAAGAAGAAGCUGGACACACGCUUCCCGGCUGCUCGAAUAAAGAAGAUAAUGCAAGCCGAUGAAGAAGUGGGGAAGAUCGCUAUGGCGACACCGGUGUUGAUCUUGGUGGCAGCCAAAGCUUUGGAGCUCUUUCUCCAGAACCUGUGUGACAAAACUUACGAAAUAACCCUCCGAAGGGGUGCAAAGACCAUGAAUUCUUUCCAUUUGAAGCAGUGUGUACAGACAAACAGUGUGUUCGAUUUUUUACAAGAAAUUGUUUCAAAGGUUCCAGAUUUAGGUACAGAGACGACCUGCGAUGAAAGGAAUGGUGGAAAGAGGAGAAAGCAAUCAGAUGGGGAUGAUAGUGAUGAAGAGGAGGUAGUGAAACGACCGAAGUCGGAGGAGCAGUCAGCAUCAGGUAGAGGUCGGGGCCGAGGGCGGGGUAGAGGCCGAGGCCGAGGUCGAGGUAGAGGGUCUAAUGGAACUCCGAGCACACGCACUAUCGGGGUCGAGAAGGCAGAAGAUUCUGACGAUGCUGAGAUGGAUACAUAUUCACCAUCUCCUGAUCGCGCAAAUAUUAUUUUAGACCCUAUAGUUCAUAAAGCGAUACCCAAACCGGAGGAGGCAGUUAGCGCAAAUCCGAGUCCAACUUCGUCUGGUCCGAGUAAGAGUCCAAAAGUACUUGAUUUUGAUUUAAAUAUGGAUUUAGAUGAGAAUGGCGAAAUACCUGCUGGGGCUGAUGAAGCGACUGCUAAGGAGGAGGAAAUAGAGCUUGACGGUCCUUCUAAUGUACCGACACAGGAUUUGGAUGUAGAUAGUGAGCAUGUCUUAGGGUGUACUUUACAUUUACAAAGGAGCGAACUCUGCCCCUCCGUGCAUUCCGAUGAGGACGACUAUGAUUGUGAAGACGAUGGUUAGUUAGAUGAUUCGAUCCACCUGCUUGCCGUUCUCUUGAGACUGCCAUGUGUGAUUCUCGUGGCUGCUGCUUAUUGGCUGCACUAACUGCUUGUAUCGAAACUCUCGGGGCUGAUUCAUCCCCUGCGGCCGCAUUUUACAAAUGGUGUUGAUAAGUCCAAUUUGCCGAGCAUCUUCCCUCGGGGACUUCACGAACAAAAAGUCUUGUAGCGAUGAAGACGGAUUGCCAACAAGACUAAUACAGGAGAUGCGAGGCAGCUCAGUCUAACUUAAUUCUUCCAUUGGGUUUCGCAAUCGUCAUCGUCAGGUAUUUAUAUAUACCUAACUCUGAGUUCAAACGCAAUACUAGCACUCGUUGAAAGGUUUACAGCUUGCUUUUCAGAUUGAUCUUUCUAACCUAGUAUGUAAGUGACCUUUCAUUAAAUCAUGAGAUAAUCUUGCUGCCGGCACUUGUCCUCGCUCCAUUUACCAGUUGUCUCUUGCGAGUGUCCGUUGUUCACCGCUUGGGCUGCCCAGUGACAAAUGUGUUGUCUGUGAUGCUUUGAAACUGGAAUGGAUGCCAAGUGUGCAAGUUACAUUGGCGUAGAAGAGGAUGAGGAGAUAAGUACAAUAAUAUACAGCCUGAAGUGAUGGGAGGUUGGUUAGCUUCCUGGUUUUUGGGUCUCAUGUAGCAACCCACAUGAGUUGCAGUCCUCUACUCAUAUAAUGUGUCAUUUGAACUAUGACCAUUUGCUCAGGUGCUGUCCUGGGCUGUAGAUUGAUACAUCAAGAAGUCAAAAUAGAAACAGAAAACUGUAUUAUUUCACCAAAACUAGGCUGUAUUGUACUGGUUUUUUUCUUUU